rnacentral:rRNA from 1 species
GACGAACGCUGGCGGCGUGCUUAACACAUGCAAGUCGAACGGAGUGGCGAACGGGUGAGUAACCCGUGGGUGACCUGCCCUGCACUUCGGGAUAAGCCUUGGCAACUGGGUCUACUACCUGAUAGUGUGGGAUGGGCCCGCGUCCUAUCAGCUUGUUGGUUGGGUAAUGGCCUACCAAGGCGGCGACGGGUAGUCGGCCUGAGAUGGUGGACGGCCACAUUGGGUCUGAGACACGGCACAGAAUAGUACGGGAGGCAGCAGUGGGGGAUAUUGCAAAAUGGGCGGAAGCCUGAUGCAGCGAAGCCGAGUGGGGGAUGACGGCCUUCGGGUUGUAAACUCCUUUCACCAUCGACGCGGUAGAUGGAGAAGAAGCACCGGCUAACUACGUGCCAGCAGACGCGGUAAUUC